CCUGUGGCUGUGUUCAAAGAUACAUAAAGAAUAUUUCUUCUCUUCAACACAAACUCAAUUUCUUCUUCCACUCAAUUUCUCUCUCUCUUCUUUAAUUCUCACACAAAACCAAGAAACCAAGAACCGACAGAGAGAAGGAGAAAGAGAAAGAGAACGAUCACUGCAUCAGUUCUCAUAUGCAGACCCUUCAUCGCCGUCUUCUCCACGCCUUAAACCUUGGCACCAGAUCUCAACUUGCACCCCCCAUCCCACCCAGUCACUUCCCUCCAGGUCCUUAUUCCGUGAAAUUUUCUUUAAAUUUUCUAUCUUUUUUACUUCCGACAUAGUGGGCACCCUUCUACCCAUCAUUUAAUUUUCUAUCUCGUUGGUUCAAAGUGAUUGAACUGUGUUUUUCGUUUCAUGGGUUUUUCUUUUGGUCCUGGGUCUGGGACCACGGUGUCCCCUAACCCAUUGGUCAGAGAAUUAUCUGCUCGCGGUGUGUGGUGUGUGGCUGCUGCUGUCACAAGAGAAUUUUGCACAUGACAUUUUGAUGAGAAGACAAAUAGAUGGAAAAAUGUGCUAUGAUCAAUUGGUGCGCUCUUGAUUCAUUAUCAGGAGAUGCACAUGCAGCACGUCAUGCUAUUGUUAAGGAACCAGUUGCCGAUAUUUUGGGAGCGCAUUAUUAUGGGUUCUUCAAUGCAAAAGUGAGGCUUUGUUAAGCAUGGCAUCAGAUGUGGCAGUAAAGAAGUUGCAACACCCUGUGCUAUUGCUUUGAAUUUGGUAAUCUCAAAUUUGAGUGGUACAAGUGAGAAGGCAGUUAUGGAAGCAUUGAAAGAAACAGAGACUUCCAUGUGUAUUGUUGGAAAUAGAAAAGAUUUUGCUGAAGGUGCAAAAAACAUUGAAUAUUUUGAAGAGACGACUUUGCUUUUGAGCACAAUACUGUGGCGCUGGCCUCCUUCUAGGUUCCCUGUUGGUAAUGAUGUUAUACUUAUGAAAGUCUUAGCAAACAUCCAUACAAGGACAGAUAGUUCUAUUAAACUUACACUUUUAAAGCUGUACACAUCUUUAUGUAUUAAAAUAUCCCUCCACCUUCCACUACAAACAAAAACUUUUCCUUAUUAUCACCCAUUCUCAAGUAUUUACGCUAACUAACUUCUAUUUUGUUACCAGCUUUAUGUGAUUCUGUAGCUAGAAAACGUAUAGAGGAUGGAGAAGUAUUUCCACAAAUGUUUGUGCAGGCGAUGGGAAAAUCAGACCCCCAUGCUGUUCGGAUAGAGGUGUUUAGGCUUGCUCAAUGUCUAUAGAGAUCCCAAGAGAAUUGUUUAAAAGUGGUUGGUUUGUGUGGUGAAGCUCUUGUUGAUGCAAUAAUUUGUGGGAUGAAAGAAACUGGGCUGAGUUCUAAAUAAAUUGGGAACAACCAUGGGUCUUUGUCAGGGGAAGCAUGCCAGUCGGCUCUAAUUACUCGCUGGGCGGGUGAUCAUCAUAUCAAGUUUUGGAAACAAGGAAUUGAUAGAAUUCUCCUUAAUCUUCCUGAUUGAAAAUAUUCAAGACCAAUUGUCUAAACCUGUCUUGUCAUUGAAAAAACAAAUAUCCAUGGUAAAAGAGGGAUUAAAAGCCAAUUAUCAUCUUGGUCUUGGGAGUUAUCUAUGAGACAUUCUUGGGUGGCUUACUAUUCACUGUGGAGAAAAUUUAAACCCUCAUACUCAUGGAACUUGAGUUUUGUGGAUACACUUGAAAAAUGGUGCCGAAUAUGUCAAAAGGAUAUUGCUGAUCCUUUUCAAGGCGAACCAGUAUCAAGGGCUGUUCUCGUGAUGAUUCAUUCUCCACUUUCAUUCCAAUCCUCACAAGAGUCUCUGCAUUCUUGAUUUCACAAGAACAUACCCUCUCUGCAAGAACCCGUUUUUCACUUUUCCAGCUUCUUAUAUUCGGAUUCUCUGGAGUGAAAAUGUUCCAUGCGCUAUUCUAUUCCAAUUUCCAAGUGAAAAUCGCGGUUGAAGUUAACAAACGCAAGAAAAGGAGCGCGGUGCGGAGAUUUUUCAAGAAAGACAUGGCCGACCUUCUUGGGAGUUCCCUUGAUUACAAUGCAUAUGGAAGGGAACCAGUUGCCGAUGUUUUGGGAGCCCAUUAUUAUGGGUUGUUCAAUGCAAAAGUGAGGCUUUGUUAAGCAUGGCAUCAGAUGUGGCGGUAAAGGUAGAAGUUGCAACACCCUGUGCUAUUGCUUUGAAUUUGGUAAUCUCAAAUUUGAGUGCUACAAGUGAGAAGGCAGUUAUGGAAGCAUUGAAAGAAACAGAGACUUCCAUGCGUAUUGUUGGAAAUAGAAAAGAUUUUGCUGAAGGUGCAAAAAAAAUUGAAUAUUUUGAAGAGACAACUUUUCUUUUGAGCACAAUAAUGUGGCGCUGGCCUCCUUCUGGGUUCCCUGUUGGUAAUGAUGUUAUACUUAUGAAAGUCUUAGCAAACAUCCAUACAAGGACAGAUAAAGCAACUCUUUUUUCCAAGCUCUUUCUUCUUCAGUUCCAUUCCAUUCCUCACAAGAGUCUCUGCAUUCUUGAUUUCACAAGAACAUACCCUCUCUGCAAGAACCCGUUUUUCACUUUUCUAGCUUCGUAUAUUCGGAUUCUCGGGAGUGAAAAUGUUCGAUGCACUAUUCUAUUCCAAGUGCAAAUCGCGGUUGAAGUUAACAAACGCAAGAAAAGGAGCGCGGUGCAGAGAUUUCUCAAGAAAGACAUGGCCGACCUUCUUGGGAGUUCCCUUGAUUACAAUGCAUAUGGAAGGGUAUUUUUUUCCUUGCUAUCUGUUUCUUCAUGUGUCUUUCACAAUAUUUGGAAAGAAAUGUAUUAGGUUCUUAAUCAUUCAAAUUUAAUUUCUCUUAUCCAAUCACAAGGAAUUUCUGCAAGUGACUCAAGAAAGUAUUUAAUGGAAUAAUUCAAAUAACUUGAUAGCCUAUUGAAAAAAAAUGCCUAGCAAUGAACAACUUCCUGCACUGAAUCUUGUGAUUGGAUCAAGGAAAAUUUGCAUUGGAUCUAAAUACAAUUCUUUUCAUAUAAUGAGGGUAUUAGUUAUUUGAAUUGAUAGCUGAGAAUUUGAUCUUUUUGCAUUAUAUUACUUUUAAAAUUUAAUUCCAAAUAUGACUGCAUUUAUUAUUUUAGAGGAAAUAAAUAUGAAAUUGUUAUAUGACAUCACAUCAUACAAUGAAUGUUUAAAAUUAUAAAUAUAAAUAUUUUUUUAUAUUAGAAUUUGAGUUUAUAACUUCCUUAUUUUUUUUUCUUUCAUCAUUAUCUUCGGUACAUUAAUGUUUUUAUGUUAUCUGUUUUUAAAUUUUAGUCAAAUUUUGUUUCUGACAAGAAUUCUAGGAAUUGUAUAAAUAUGUUUUAUACAUCAUUUUAUAAUUUAUUAAUAAAUUUAUCAAAUAUUUAUAAUCCUUAAAAUUAACUUAACCCAGAAAAUGAACCAAUUUAAUUAGUUCUAUGGCUUCAUUGUCUUGUCAUAAAUUGUAAAUAUAAAUAAGUGACUGAAAUCUCAAAAGUUCAUCCAAAAUUUCAAAACUAAAUAUUGAAUCCCCGGGCGGAGUGACCUUGGAUUAACCAAAGAAUCAUCAAAUCUAAGCUGAUUGGGUCGUCUUCAUGAGAGAGCUCCGGGAUGGGCCGACAAAUAAUAAUAAUAAUGAUAAUAAUCUGGCAUACUGGGACGCACGUGCCUAGUUCUCCUCCUCCCCAUUUUUGGUCCCUUGUCAUGUUGCAGAAGAUGAGGAGGAGAUUGUUUCUUAUUGUAAUGCAUUAAGAGUCAAUCCAUUGUCCUUUGUUUUUCUUUAUUUGCAAGUUUAGUUUGUUGGUGUUGCUUCUUUGGUUUCUUUGAGUGCUUUUCCUCGAGUCUACCAUUGUAGUAAGUGUUUUAGGGUCUUAAAGAGUGUUACCAUCGAGUGGUGGUUUGAGCGUCUCCGCCUGACUCAUCUUGGUAUCGGCUUCUUAUUUUAAGGAACAAGAGAUUUUUUUGGUUUCAUAAACUUGAAAAAACCAAUACUAAGAUGGGUAAGCUAGAGGCCUCUCAAACCACCACUCGAGAAUAACAGUCUUUCAUAUUCUAAAACUUGUGGAACUGCAACAGAGAAAAAACAGUCAGGGAAAUCAAUGAUGCAACACCAACAAACCAAACUUGCAGAAGAAGAAGAAAGGACAAUGAUUGGGCUCUUAAUGCAUUACACUGAGAACCAAUCUCCUCCUCAUCCUCUGCGAUAUGAAUAUGACAAGGGAUCAGAAAUGUUAAGAGGACAGCGGGGGUUUGUGUGUCCUAGCUUGUUUGUCGACUCCUCUUAUAGCUCUCAGAAAGAAAAUCCAACCAACUUAGCUUAAUAGGCAUCACAUUUUUAUUUUUACUUGUUUUUUUUUACUGUUUGAUCAUUCUUUGGUUAAUUCCAACUCACACUCCCCACAUGGGAUUCAAUAUUUAGUUUUUAUUGCUCCCAUUUCUCUCUCUCUUGCUACAUUUUUUCUUGCUGAUAUGGCAACUCUUUAUUCCAAGCACUUUCUUCUUGAGUUUCAUUUCAUUCCUCACAAGAGUCUCUGCAUUCUUGAUUUCACAAGAACAUACCCACUCUGCAAGAACCCGUUUUUCACUUUUCCAGCUUCAUACUCUGGACCCCAUAUAUCCACUGGAAAGAUAGAUGUUUUCAUAAACAUAUACCAAAGACCAAAAGUUUUAAAAUUUGAAAAUUCACUAUCGUUUAUAAACUUACAAUGUACCAACAACUCUUUGUGUUUUCUUCUAAUACUCUUACUCCAAAUAUUCGAAGCCAUGCCAAAGUCAGAUAUUUUACAUUCAUCUCGUGAUCAAGCAAUAUAUUGCUUGCCUUUAGGUCUUGAUGUAUCACUUUUAGUCUCGAAUACUUGGGAAGGUAUAGAAGUUAUUGAGCAAUGCCUCCAAUGAUGUUCAACUGUUUUUCUCACUCUUGCAAAUUCUUUCUAGCUGAAUCUGUUUUGAAGUAAGGUUGCCUUGUUAAUAUGCUACAUGCUAACAUCUUUACCUUAACAGAAGAUAAAACAAAAUCCAAACAAAUAGGUAGAAGUCUAAGCUCUUGUUAGGCAUGUACUCAUAGAUCAAUAUUCUUUCAUCUCUCUGGAUGCAGAACCCUAAAAGCUUUAUCAAGUUCGUGUGCUGGAGUUUGGCCAUGAGUUUGGCUUCAUUCGUAAACUCCAUUAGCCCCUGUUCCGAACCUUUAGAAAGUCGCUUUAUUGCCACUUCUUGCUGAUCACUUAGCGUUCCCUGAAGGUGUCACUAUAUCAGUUCUUAUUCUGAUAGUUUCAAAUUUAAGCAAGCAAAUUAAUUCUUGUGCAGAUAUAUUAUAUAGUUUAAAAUUACCUUAUAAACAGGACCAAAACCACCCUAUCCUAACUUAUAUUUGGCACUUUCUUAUCAACAUGAUUUAGUAGAACAAACUUCAAUACGUGUUGAUGCUAGUGAAAGUAACUUUUGUAUCCAAGUAAACAUACAUAUAACUUUUUUUCCUCCACA